GUUGCUUCAUAUGGUGAACUCUCUCUGUUGAUGAGAGUUGUUCGAGUUUCCCGAAGCAUAUAUCAAUAAUUUUUGACCAGUUUUAAACAGCUCGAUGAAUGGAUUACUCUGUUAAUCUAAUUACUUUCAUCGCGUUACCUGUCUGCUGGUACAUUC